rnacentral:rRNA from 1 species
AGUCAAGUAAUUAAGUGCAUGUGGUGGAUGCCUUGGCAGUCAGAGGCGAUGAAAGACGUAAUAGCCUGCGAUAAGCUUCGGGGAGGCGGCAAAUAUCCUGUGAUCCGGAGAUUUCUGAAUGGGGAAACCCACUUACCAUAAGGUAGGUAUCGCAUGAUGAAUACAUAGUCAUGCGAGGCGAACGAGGGGAAGUGAAACAUCUCAGUACCCUUAGGAAAAGAAAUCAAUUGAGAUUCCCUCAGUAGCGGCGAGCGAACGGGGAUCAGCCCAUUAAGUUAUAUGUGUAUUAGCGGAAAGCUCUGGGAAGUGCUACCGUAGAGGGUGAUAGUCCCGUACACGAAAGUGCACAUAUAAUGAUGACGAGUAGGGCGAGGCACGUGAAACCUUGUCUGAAUAUGGGGGGACCAUCCUCCAAGGCUAAAUACUCCUGACUGACCGAUAGUGAACCAGUACCGUGAGGGAAAGGCGAAAAGAACCCCUGUGAGGGGAGUGAAAUAGAUCCUGAAACCGCAUGCAUACAAGCAGUGGGAGCCGACUUGUUCGGUGACUGCGUACCUUUUGUAUAAUGGGUCAGCGACUUAUAUUCAGUAGCAAGGUUAACCGCAUAGGGGAGCCGUAGAGAAAUCGAGUCUUAAUAGGGCGUUUAGUUGCUGGGUAUAGACCCGAAACCGGGUGAUCUAUCCAUGAGCAGGUUGAAGGUUGGGUAACACUAACUGGAGGACCGAACCCACUGUCGUUGAAAAGCCAGGGGAUGACUUGUGGAUAGGGGUGAAAGGCUAAUCAAACUCGGUGAUAGCUGGUUCUCCCCGAAAGCUAUUUAGGUAGCGCCUCGGACGAAUACCAUAGGGGGUAGAGCACUGUUUCGGCUAGGGGGUCAUCCCGACUUACCAAACCGAUGCAAACUCCGAAUACCUAUGAGUACUAUCCGGGAGACAGACUGCGGGUGCUAACGUCCGUAGUCAAGAGGAAAACAAUCCAGACCGCCAGCUAAGGCCCCAAAAUUAUAGUUAAGUGGGAAACGAUGUGGGAAGGCAUAGACAGCUAGGAGGUUGGCUUAGAAGCAGCCACCCUUUAAAGAAAGCGUAAUAGCUCACUAGUCGAGUCGGCCUGCGCGGAAGAUGUAACGGGGCUAAAACUAUAUGCCGAAGCUGCGGAUGUAUACUUUGUAUACGUGGUAGGGGAGCGUUCUGUAAGCCGAUGAAGGUGUGUUGAGAAGCAUGCUGGAGGUAUCAGAAGUGCGAAUGCUGACGUGAGUAACGACAAAACGGGUGAAAAACCCGUUCGCUGAAAGACCAAGGGUUCCAGUCCAACGUUAAUCGGGGCUGGGUGAGUCGACCCCUAAGGCGAGGCCGAGAGGCGUAGUCGAUGGGAAAUUGGUUAAUAUUCCAAUACUUCUGUGUAAUGCGAUGAGAGGACGGAGAAAGUUAAGUCAGCCUGGCGUUGGU